rnacentral:rRNA from 1 species
UACAGAGGGGGCAAGCGUUAUUCGGAAUUAUUGGGCGUAAAGGGCGCGUAGGCGGCCUGGCAAGUGGAAGGUGAAAUCCCUCGGCUUAACCGAGGAACUGCCCUCCAAACUGCUUGGCUUGAGUCCGGGAGAGGUGAGUGGAAUUCCCAGUGUAGCGGUGAAAUGCGCAGAUAUCAGGAGGAACACCGGUGGCGAAGGCGGGUCUCUGGGCCGUAACUGACGCUGAGGAGCGAAAGCGUGGGGAGCGAACAGG